rnacentral:rRNA from 1 species
GACGAACCGUGCGAACGUUGUUCGGAAUCACUGGGUUUAAAGGGCGCGUAGGCGGGCUGUCAAGUCGGUGGUGAAAUCCUCCGGCUCAACCGGAGCAGUGCCUCGAAUACUGGCGGUCUCGAGGGAGGUAGGGGCGUGCGGAACUGUGGGUGGAGCGGUGAAAUGCGUUGAUAUCCACAGGAACUCCGGUGGCGAAGGCGGCACGCUGGACCUUUUCUGACGCUGAGGCGCGAAAGCCAGGGGAGCGAACGGG